rnacentral:rRNA from 1 species
GUGUAUGGCCAUACCACCCUGAACACUCCCGAUCUCGUCUGAUCUCAGAAGCUAAGCAGGGUCGGGCCUGGUUAGUACUUGGAUGGGAGACCGCCUGGGAAUACCAGGUGCUGUAGGCU